UUAAAACACCAGUUCCCAUAUGACCACUGAAGUUAAGCAAUGUCGUGCAUGGUCAGUAGCUAGUUGGGUGACAUUGGGAAUACCAGAUGCCA